GAGCACAUGUGCAUUUGGUUAAACUAACUAUCUAACUUACUUUGAGAAUAUCUCACCCCAAUGCCCCCUUCCAAAUCUAUAAAACAAAACCUAUUCAAAUUUGAAAUGUAAUUUCAAAUUUGAAAAACAAACUCAUAGACAAAUAAAUGAAAAACCCAUAAGAACCUAGGCAGGCCGAUGCCCUUUUCGGCCCGUCAUCACAACCAGCGCAGCCUGCCUCGCCCCUCCUCCCUCGCAUGCACACACGCAAGGCCCAGCAGUUGGCCCAGCCCGCAACCCCGUCAUCCCCUAUCUCAGGUUCCUCC
rnacentral:lncRNA from 1 species